CGGGGAACCAGGAGACUAGUGGCGUCCGGGGGAGGAGAGGUUGCCAUAUUGGAAUGGAGGAACAAGACUACAUUGUAAUUUGUGGGAACUCCUGGGUAUUUCCGGAGGCUUAUUGGGCUCAGGCCUCCCAAAUAGGAGUAAGGCAAAUCCUAAUUAUCGUCCUGCGGAAAUUGUGAUGACAGAGACUUGGCAGGACUUCGAAAAUAGUGGUGGAAUUGGGAAAUAUGGAGGGACACCGGUUCCGGUAUACGUGUAGAGAGGAUUGUGGGUGUCGGAGGGGAGAUUCUCCAGAGACCUGGAAUCUCCAAAAUUCCCACAUACCUCAGAGGUGCAACAAAAUCGUGAAGGUGUUGUCCCGAGACGCAUGACGCAACUCGCAAGAUGUCGCCCGCCUACCUAUCUACAUCGAUUCCCAAUGGCCUCUCAAUGCCUUCUGAAAUAAAGUUAGUAAUUUACACUCUUCA